rnacentral:pre_miRNA from 1 species
GAUUUCAAUUGAAAAAGUCAUCAACAACAAAGUUGAAUAACUCAUCAAGAUCUAAAACUUUUAUUUUUGUUAUUUCUUCAUCCGACGAAAUGUUAGUAAUAUUAUUCACAAAUUUUACAUAUAUGUGUUAUAGUUUAUAAAACCAGAUAAGAGAUAUGUCAAUUUUGUGAACAAUGUUACUAUCACUUUGUUGUAUGAAGAAAUGACCAAAAUAAAAGUUUUAGAUCUUGAUGAGUUUUUCAACUUUGUUGUUGAUGACUUUUUCAGUUGAUAUC